UGUCCGCUGCUGUCCACAGCAUGGUUGAAGAUUUUGUUAAAAAGAUUAGCGAAAUGUAAAGAUGAAAUAGACCCUAUAAAGUAUUCACAGCAGUCCGGCAUUUGUUUGUAAACAAAGAGCGGACACUCAGCUACGCGGGGCAGCGCCGCAGCAGUAAACUUGAGAGAGAAGAGGACAUGGGCAGGAGACAGUUUUGUGGGAAUGGAAGCGUUCCGAGCUUCGCCAUAUGGAGUUCACAACUUUGAUCUCAGCAUUAUAGUGCACUUUCUUACACCAUACAAAAAAUCAUGUCUUGCAAAUACCUGAUGACUGUAAAAGUACAUCCCUACACUGUUAAGGAGCGACCACUGUACCAAGUUAUUCAAUGACUGCAAAUACACUGAAUUAUGAAAGCUUUCCUGUACAACCUCUUAACAUCUGAGAAAGCUGUUAUGAUUAUUACUUGGAGUUGCCGUCUGGAAACAAAUGUCUACAAAUGUCCUGGAUGUUCACUUGAGGCAUGAGCUUGCAGCAUGCUCCAGUAUUAACUGCUGCUGAGUUGGAAGAAUACUGCCACCACACUCCCUGCACAUUGUAAUAGGCAACUGUGAGAUGGAACAAGAGGAUUAAGAAAAAUCCCGCAUUUGUAUUGUUAUUCCAACAGUGAGAGGAGUGUCAUCUUGUGGUUACCUCUUUUAAGGGGAGCUUUUAGCCAGGUAUGUUGAUAGUUAAGAGAAGGAAACAAGUUCACUAAUGCUGGAAUAGAAAUGUGUUCAAAUGGUGCAAAAAUGGUUCUUGAAACCUGUCUUAUUCAGGGUAAAACACAAGUUUCUGCAAAUGUUGCUAGAGAUGAAAGUACAGGUUAGUCUAAGUUGAAAAUUUUCUAUGCAUUUUGAGGGCAUGUUUAGCUGUGGUAUGAAAUUCAAGUGUGACUGGGCAACAGACAGUGGCUGGACCAGGUGGGUAACCAAGGGGGGAUGUGUAGACCUGGAUGUCCAUUGGUGGAAUUGUAAAUUAUUCAGUCAUGAUUUCUGCAAGUUUUGGAGCUUUACGGUAUCCAACAAUGAGAGGAGUGGUGACAGUGGACAGAUGAUUUACUGAUAAAUGUGAUUUACUGAUAAAUGCAACACAAUGAUAGUAUGGAUGUACUAAUGACAAAUGAAAUAAUAGGCUGCAAGGCAUCAUGCCUGCCCAAGCAGAGGAUGGGAGGGAGUGAGGCUAGCAGCAAAUCAGUUGAUAGUUAUUCAGUCACACACAGUUUACCACCGAAGCCAUGACAGCAAAUACAUUUAGAUUUUACUGCGCAGCUAAUGUGGAGUGUGUGGACAUGGUGUUUUCCACCUUGGUUUCUACCUGGCCUGGGUGUUGUAUCUGUUGCCAGAGCCCACAAAUUACACACAUGGCUUAACAUUGCAUAUGUGCCUAGAACAUUUUCAACUUAGAAUAACCUGUUCUUUCACUUCUAGCAAUAUCUGCAGAAAUUCAUGUUACACUCUAUAGAAUUCAGUCCCAACCAUGGGUACAUGCACUUUUCAGGGGGUACAUUGGGUCUCAGAGAAUAGCCACUACUGUGCAAUACAUGGUGUUGUAAUCUGCAAUCAGAUUGCACAAUGUCUUUUUUUUUUUUUUUUAAAUUUUAGUAAGCAAGACUUUCAUCUAAAUUAAAUAAAGAGUCAGGUAAAUACCAUUUGGUUUUCACUAUUAUGGAACUAACCGUGGCUGCAGUCUGUACUGAGCCUGAAAGGAUUAAGUACAAGAUGCAAUGAUCAUUAUGGAUAAUUAUAAGAAAGAUAUGUAUGUGAUGGAUCAAGAUAUUUUCUAAAUUACUUGAGUUUAUUUCAUUGAUGUUGUAAACUUUAAGAUUCCUAUGCAGUCUACACAUAUAAAUUUCAUAAUGAAAAAAUAUCAAAAUAUUACAAUUCCAUCUAUUUAUUAUUAAUCUAUUUAUGGGUACACAGGAACCUAUAAAAAUCUCCAAGGAGUACAGAGGAACAAAAAGGUUGGGAAUGCCUGCUGUAGAUGGUGUGAAAGCUCUUAAAUGUGUUUGAGAAUGUUUACAGAUGCUAUUUGAAAGGAAUACAAGUGAAAGGGUUGAUUUUUAAAAGCAUAAUGGAGCAGGAACUACAGGUAAAUGAAACACCUAUGAAGUCUUUAUCAUGAGCAACCAUGGAAAGUGAAAAGAAAGGAAUGGUGCAGUGUUGUAAUUUCUUUUAAUGUUUACAGUGUUCCCUCAGUAUUUAUGGUUUCACCAUUCACAUUUUCUCCUGUAUGGCACAAAAGCAGUUUUAGAUAUGCAAUAGGAACAUUCCUCACUACUCUUCUCUUUGAAUAUCACAAAAUAGGAUAAUAUUCCACUCAAAAGAUAGCACAGAAAUGCAUAUUAGAAAAUGUGAGAGCACAAUGACAAAGUUUUGGGUUUACAAUCUCACUCUGGGAAUAUUUGAAGUGGCUAAAGUAACACUUGGUGGUUAACAACAACUGGCUAGCAGUACACAAACAUUUUUUGUUCCUAGUCAAGCUGUAUGUGUUAAUUUCAUUAAGCAUGGGCUAGAAUGUAGUGUGUGCUUGUGGCAACCAUUAGAUGUUUUAAGUAAAGUUAAGAGAAUAAAUAAUUUGUAAGUGCAUGUGAACCACCACUACAUUAUUCAGUCAACUUUAUUGAAGACAUCUAAUGGCCAGCACAAGCACACUACAAGACACUGUAGGCAUUUAAUGGGCAGCACAAUCACACUACAAGACACUGAAGACAUUCAAUGGCCAGCACAAGCACACUUCAAGAUGACACCAGGCAUUCAAUGGCCAGCACAAGCACACUACAAGACAAUGAAGACAUUCAAUGGCCAGCACAAGCACACUACAAGACAUUGAAGACAUUCAAUGGCCAGCACAAGCACACUACAAGAUGACACUAGGCAUUCAAUGGCCAGCACAAGCACACUACAAGACAUUGAAGACAUUCAGUGGCCAGCACAAGCACACUACAAGACACUGAAGGCAUUUAAUGGCCAGCACAAGCACACUACAAGACACUGAAGGCAUUUAAUGGCCAGCACAAGCACACUACAAGAUACUGAAGACCUUUAAAGCCACCACAAGUACAUUACAGGACACUGAAGAUAUUUAAUGGCCACCGCAAGCACACUACAAGAUGCUGAAGACAUUUAAUGGCCACUGCAAGCACACUAAAAAAUAAUGAAGACAUUUAAUGGCCAGCACAAACACACUACAAGACAUCCCUGCUCCCAAAUGAACAAGUGUCAAUAAUGCUAGACAAAAAAAAAAAAAAAACAAGAUGGUGUAUGCACUACCAGCUAUUCAUUUGUAACAACCAAGUGCUGUCUCAGUUCCAAAACUUUCCAAGAGUGGAUCUAGAGUUCUAACUUCAUGUAACUGUGCUCUCACAUUUCCUAACAACAAAAGUACAAGGUUGAGUUGUCUGUUGUGUGAAAUAUCCUAUGUAUGUGUGACAUUUUGUCUGGUGCUGAGCAGGAUGUGAAAUUGCUUCAUGUAUGCCCUACAUUAAACACUGCACAGCUAAAGACUGUUUAGCCACUAUAUAGAUACUAUAUGGAUGGACUGGGAAUAUCUGAUAAGAAUUGUAAUGAAUUAUGUAACAUUUUGCAGACCAUUUUGUAGUGGCAGUUCAUGUUGAACUUUUUAUGGUCUCCUGUCCGUACCGCAUGGUGCUGCCUCGCGCGGCUCACACCUAGCUGGUAUCCCUCGUGAAUUGUAGAAGGGACCGGAAUCCAAACACCACCACAACUCAGGGCGCAGUGGUAGACGCUCAACCCGUCCCCCGCAGUCAUACCGGGACAUCUGAAGACGUCGCGGUAUGACUACACCUCUCGCCUGGGGAGGGCAACGGCUGUGCUAACAAGGAAGGAUGUCAGCUUCAGUGUUGUGGCUUAUGGUCCUUCAUCGUGGCUAAAAGAAACCCCAGAAGGUGAUUGCGAGGUCAAGGCUUAUAGUCGCACUGAUGAAAAGAAACACACCUGCCAAGAACCUCGAACCUCAGUCAUUGAGAACCUCCCCGAUCCCGAGUCACUGACGAGCAUACCGGUGUGGGCAAUAAUAGUGGCGGUGGUGUUAGCUGUGAUAGUAGUGGGCGCGAUAGUGGUCUAUUGGAAGUGGAAGUCUGAGACAUCACGCAACGCAGCAAAUCCAGGUGAAUUAACUGAGCCAAGCAACGCGCCACACGUCAUAAAUGAUGUCACGUAUGAGUCGUUUGGAAAUGACACCAUCGAGGAUCACUCGCCGUGCGAAGCCUUCGACAACACCACCAAAGAUGGCCCCUCGCUAGUACAGGGAGAAGCACCGUACACUAUUGAAAAUAACCAGCACGAAUCUUUCAGCAGUUACGGGCACAGAUACAACCAGUAGGCGGUCCCAAAGAUUACAUCCAUCAAUUUACUAUUCAUUUAUUUAUUUUUUAAAUAUUACAGACACGUUGGAUAGCAGAAGAUUAAAGAUAAACAAGGAAAUCUUGAUGAUGCAUAAAUUUCUUUUCUCAUGCUAAAUUUGGAGUUAUAAUAGUGUUUCCUUGUCUAUUCAUAGGAUAAACUUUAGUAAUGGAAAUUACAAGGAAAAUUUUGUUAUGCCACCCUCGUUUUGGGGGAUGUAGAUCAUUUGUGCCCUGUGUGGUAUAUGUUUUGUGUAUUUUGGAAUGUUGCCAUGCUGCGUUCGUACGUGUGUGUGUGUGUGUGUGUGUGUGUGUGUGUGUGUGUGUGUGUGUGUGUGUGUGUGUGUGUGUGUGUGUGUCACAGAUUUUUGGCUGUUACCCAUUAGAGUAAUGUUCCGUUUUCUAACUGUUGUUUGGCGUUUGCUUAAUCAAAUUUCUCUCUCUCUCUCUCUCUCUCUCUCUCUCUCUCUCUCUCUCUCUCUCUCUCUCUCUCAUUCUGCUACCCACCAAAAACAUUCAUAUUUCCUUCCACCACAUAUUUUUCUUCUGUAUAACAAUUCAUUUGUAUUUCUUUGGACGUUAUUGUAUGUGAAAAUCACCAUAUCCUGAAGUUAUUUAUAUUUUAGCUUUAGUUAGAUCACAUCUGGACUACGCACUGCAGUUUUGGACACCGUAUUAUAGGAAAAACAAAUUCCUUAUAAACAGUGCAGUGGAUGAUAACUAUUAUGAUGAUUACUGAUGGGCUGAGAUGAUUACCGUAUAAGUUAGAACGACUUAACCUGCAUUCACUGGAGAGAAGAAGGGUGCGUGGGGUCAUGGUGGAAAUAUAAGUAAAAUAAAUUAAUUCAGGUGAUGUUAGUGACGUUCUCAUAGUAAAUAAUCAGCACAAAACUCGAGGUAACGGAUAUAAGCUAGAUAAGUUUAGGUUUAGGAAAGAGAUUGGUGGGAACUGGUUCACAAACAGUGGUGGAUGAGUGGAACAGGUUUAGCAGUCAUGUGAUCAGCGCCAGCACGCUAGGUAGUUUCAAGAGAUAGUUGUAUGAUUAUAUGGAUGGGAAAAACAGACUAUAAUUGGGAUGUUGGUAAGGGGAGGUGGCGUUCAUGAUUAGUGCAGAUGCCCAGUGUAGGCCAGCCGGCCUUUUGCAGCCUCAUUUGUUAUAUGUCAUUGAUUAAGAUAAUUCAUCCUUGUUUUGCAUUUCCUAGGAUUAUGUUUACGUAAAUUAUUAUGAUUUUCUUCGUUGAUUUUUUUACCUAAAAUAACAGAUUUUGGAUCUCUAAGACACCCUCACGGUUUAUCAACUGUUAGCAUCUAGUAUAUGAAUUGAAAAACGCCUUUACAAUUCAUUUGGCUAUACCAACGACGUUACUUAAUUUAGUGCUAGUGUCAAGUCUGCAAUGCUUAGUAUGUGUUGGCUGUAAUACGAUUAUACGUACAUCGUAUUGUAGUUAAACUUAUGAUGAAAAGGGUGUUCUUUUUUGUACGUUGUUUCUUGAGAAAUGUGUAUAUUGUUGUUAUGCUUGUAUCAGGAUGGUUGAAAAGGUUUACGUGAGUUGCAGCUUGUAAGGAGAGGACCAUUUUCUAUCAACCCCAGAGUUCCAAUAUUAUGUGUGUGCUAUGAAUUACUGUGUCCUUGUGGUAACCUUACGAAGUCAAAAAAGAUAUAAGAAACAAGAGAAGACGACGGAUGAAUUAGGGAAAUAGGAAAACGUGACAAGAAGGCUUAGAGAAAAGUAGAAAAAAAAAAGAAAGCUAUCAACGCCGCUGUUUUGUUCAGGGUAUUUGACUUGAAAUGAUGAGAAGGCCCACACAGAACUGACCCACAAAGAAGGUUAUAAUAUUGUGACCGUGACCGGACAGAGAUGUAGAGGUCGGCUGACUAAGAUAUGAAAAGGGAAAAAGGCAAGCACAGCACAAGGAGGAGCGGAAAAGAGAGGUGAACAGAGCGGUGUACUGUGGGAACUUACUGUUGCCUUAUCACUCUCCAACUUCUUACUGUGUCAUAUACCCAAACUCUGCCCUGAUACUAUGAAUGGGCAAAAACAUAUAUUGCCACGCCUGUGGGCGGGUCAGGUGUAUGAAGUGUAUUACUGCAUGUGAAUUAUGUGAGAUGUAUGGGAUUCUCAAUCUUAUCAUAGAUUUUGAGGGAAAAAUGUAACAAACUAGGGUAUAUCAUAUCAGGUAACUGAGGUAGGAGUCAGACUGAGACAGCAGUCAGCAGGCAGAGAGACCAGAGAGCAGAAGCAGAGAUUGCAGAGGUUCUAGAAUUGAGAGGAGCCUAAGGAGACAUGGACAAGCUCAAGCUCGUCCUAGAACUCGUAAGGAGAGCUUAAAAGUUGUGUGAUGCAGUCUUAGUAAUUGUUGUCUCAUGAAGGUGAAAAAGGAGGAAGUAAUUUGUAGGCUGUUUUAUUAUUGGAAUGUUUUAGAUUUAGGAUUUUGUAUUUGUGUGUUUUUGUGUAAUUUCUUGACUUAAAUGUUAAGUAUUGAAUUGCUCUGACAAGAAACUCGGGUACUACUGUGAACCAAGUUGAUGGAAGGUUCUCAGCGUGUUGCAGAAAGUGAAAACCCGGAAAUGAUUAUUGUAUCUAAUUUUUACUGAAGUAAAUGUAGAAAUUUUAA